CCUACGGGUGACAGCAGUGAGGAAUAUUGGUCAAUGGUCGGGAGACUGAACCAGCCAAGCCGCGUGAGGGAUGAAGGUACAGAGUAUCGUAAACCUCUUUUGUCAGGGAACAAAGGCGGGGACGUGUCCCCGGCUGAGUGUACCUGAAGAAAAAGCAUCGGCUAACUCCGUGCCAGCAGCCGCGGUAAUACGGAGGAUGCGAGCGGUAUCCGGAUUUAUUGGGUUUAAAGGGUGCGCAGGCGGUCUGUUAAGUCAGCGGUCAAAGCCUGGGGCUCAACCCCGGCCCGCCGUUGAAACUGGCAGUCUCGAGUUGGAGAGAAGUAUGCGGAAUGCGCGGUGUAGCGGUGAAAUGCAUAGAUAUCGCGCAGAACUCCGAUUGCGAAGGCAGCAUGCCGGCUCCACACUGACGCUGAGGCACGAAAGCGUGGGUAUCGAACAGGAUUAGAUACCCGUGUAGUC
rnacentral:rRNA from 1 species